CGGUGUUCAACUGGCGUGCCCGCGGGACGUCCUGCCGGUGAGCUCAGCCCGCGAGGGCGGCUCAACUUGAAAUCCCAUCGCGGUGCUCUUCAUUGAGUGUCGAGGUGGGCCGGCACGAUUACUUUUGAACAAAUUAGAGUGCUUAAAGCAGGCUAAAAUUUUGCCUGAAUACUGUGUAUAUGGAAUAAUGGAAUAGGACCUCGGUUCUAUUUUGUUGGUUUUCGGAACCCCGAGGUAAUGAUUAAUAGGAACGGAUGGGGGCAUUCGUAUUGCGACGUUAGAGGUGAAAUUCUUGGAUCGUCGCAAGACGGACUAAAGCGAAAGCAUUUGCCAAAAACGCUUUCAUUGAUCAAGAACGAAAGUUAGAGGUUCGAAGGCGAUCAGAUACCGCCCUAGUUCUAACCAUAAACUAUGCCAGCUAGCGAUCCGCCGACGUCCCUCUGAUGACUCGGCGGGCAGCUUCCGGGAAACCAAAGCUUUUGGGUUCCGGGGGGAAGUAUGGUUGCAAAGCUGAAACUUAAAGGAAUUGACGGAAGGGCACCACCAGGAGUGGAGCCUGCGGCUUAAUUUGACUCAACACGGGAAACCUCACCAGGCCCAGACACUGGAAGGAUUGACAGAUUGAGAGCUCUUUCUUGAUUCAGUGGGUGGUGGUGCAUGGCCGUUCUUAGUCGGUGGAGCGAUUUGUCAGGUUAAUUCCGAUAACGGACGAGACUCUGACCUGAUAACUAGACGCACUUGCGGCAUCUCAAAGGUCCGCCGGCGGCUGGCUUUGCGCCCGUCGUCGCGCGCGAUUUUUACUGCCGGCGUACAAUAAAUUCUUCUUAGAGGGACAAGUGG
rnacentral:rRNA from 1 species